rnacentral:pre_miRNA from 1 species
ACAACAACAUUCGGACCGUCGGUCUACCGAGCAAUAUCACCCGCUCGGUGGAAGAUCUUCCCUUUGUCGUUAAGC